CGAAAUGCGAUAAGUAAUGCGAAUUGCAGAAGUCAGUGAAUCAUCGAAUCUUUGAACGCACAUUGCGCCCGCCAGUACUCUGGCGGGCAUGCCUGUCCGAGCGUCAUUUCAACCCCUCGGGCCCCUAACCCUCCCUGGGAGGGCGCCCGGUGUUGGGGCUUUCAGGCGUUAGCUUGAUCCCCUAAAUGCAGUGGCGGCCACGCCGCGGCCUCCCCCGCGCAGUUAGCACCUCGCGGAUCGGGAAGGCGGCGCGGCCACGCCCCUAGAACCACCACGAAACGUACCAAAGGUUGACCUCGGAUCAGGUAGGGAUACCCGCUGAACUUAAGC
rnacentral:misc_RNA from 1 species